rnacentral:rRNA from 1 species
AGGGGUUGUAAACUGCUUUUGGGAGGGGGAAACUUGGCCACGUGUGGGAAACUGACGGUACUGUAAAAAUAAGGACCGGCUAACUCCGUGCCAGCAGCCGCGGUAAUACGGAGGGUCCAAGCGUUAUCCGGAAUCAUUGGGUUUAAAGGGUCCGUAGGCGGGCAAUUAAGUCAGAGGUGAAAUCCCACAGCUCAACUGUGGAACUGCCUUUGAUACUGGUUGUCUUGAGUUAUAUUGAAGUAGAUAGAAUAUGUAGUGUAGCGGUGAAAUGCAUAGAUAUUACAUAGAAUACCGAUUGCGAAGGCAGUCUACUAACUGUAUACUGACGCUAAUGGACGAAAGCGUGGGGAGCGAACAGGAUUAAAUACCCUGGUAUUCCACGCCGUAAACGAUGGUCACUAGUUGUUGGGGCUUUAUGCUUCAGGGAUUAACAAAAAUUGUUAAGUGACCCCCCUGGGGAGUACAAUCCAAAGAUUGAAACUCAAAGGAUUUGACGGGG